CCCGCCAAUGUGGGGUUCUCUCCUUAGGAGGGAAAAACUUUGGACUCCAUGCGGCUCACAUGGUGUAGUUAUGUCGUUAUAAGAAACUCCCACGUCCAUAAUGAUCUAAGUACCAUGAGAUACCGAGUCACUCUAAGUCAUGAUUCAAAGAGUUUGAGUUGAGUUAAAUGAUUUAUGAGAUUUAUGAAGCAUAUGUUAUUGCUGAUGACUUACGAAAAUGAUGUUUUAGAUAAUUCAAGCGAAGAGAGUUAUUAUUGUCAGUAUGCAUGAUUUGCUUAUACAUUUAUGAUAUUAUUUAAAAUGUUCCAUCCACCCCCACAUACUCAGUACAUUCCCAAGUACUGACUCCCAUACUCUUUUGUAUUCUAUAUUCCUUCAUGAUAUAGGUUCAGGUGCUCAGCCUCAGCAGCGACAGUGAUCUUUGAG
rnacentral:lncRNA from 1 species